rnacentral:lncRNA from 1 species
UAAACUCGACCGGCUUUUAUCUCCUUCUCCUUCUUUUUCCGCGGAAACAACUUUAUCGUUUUGGAGUAUUGCUUAUUUUUAGCAGGAUAUAGAGAGAUAAGUCAAGCCGAUUCUCUUUCUAAAAGAAGAAUUUGGCGGUGCUAAAAGGCCGUCUAAACCGAGAACAACGCAUUGCCCUCGGAAUCUAGGAGCCUCUACGAGCUACGAUAUGGUGCGGUGCAUCGUCAUAUGGAGAUUAUUCCAGGAUCAUCCUAUCAUCAAGAUCAUCCUGCCUUCAAGCUUCCGGCACACGUUCCACGUCCUCAUUGUGCUUUAUUGUUGUUCAUCGAUGGAAAAACAGUCAUAAGUUCCGUUGGAUAGGCUCAUAUAUCUUAAAAAUCCAACUAGAACUAAUCUUUGAGACUAAAAGCCUCC